GGAAGAGUUCUUCAAUCACGCAGACCUCAUCAUCUGAAGGAAACAUUACCACUUCAAGUACUACUGCUUUGAAUAAUAGAUCAUUUCAAAAAGAAGAUAUAUUAUCACAAGGAGCUGAAUAAAUGAAUAAGGAGUUAUUUGAAGCUGCUAAAAGAGGU